rnacentral:lncRNA from 1 species
AUUAUUUGUAUUGUUGAUGCAUAAACUGGCACAUUAUUACAUGUACAUUUGUAAAAUUGUUGUUCUGAAGAUAAUGUAUUCCCAUCUCUUUAAGGAUAAAUAUCCAAUCAAUAAAAAAAUAAAGUACUUAUAUUUGAAGCACCAAAAAUGUUUACAAUGAAUCCCAAUCCUUGGACAUCUUUGACUGAAAUUGAAGUUGCUAAGAUUUUGCAUCUAAAACAGAUCACAUAUGAAGCACCUGAUGGCUUCAAUGAUGCACCUAAAAUUAUAAGAAUUCUUAUUAAUGAGGCUCAAAAUGCACCUACUCAGAUUGUAAUGCCAUUGACUACAAUACCUCAAGUUAUAACAACAACAACUAAAAAAAAUUUAUGGACCAGAUAAGCAACCAUGUAAGAAGAAAGCUAUAAUAUUAAUUAAUCCUGGUAUUAUUUUUCAAGAAAUUCCCAC